AUAAGAUGGUGGGUGUUGACAGAGAUAGUGACAUCAAAGAUAGGUCAUGCCUAUUGAGACCAGGUGAUCUCAGAUCGCUACCUCCAGAUACCACAGCCUUGAGCUGGUGAGAUGAUCCGUUCCUACCUUGUGUCUGACAUGGACAUCAGAUUCCUUCACUGGUUUUCCAUUUUUCUACUAGGAGAAGGGUUUUCAGAUGUUGAAGUCAUCCAGGUCCCGAAACAGCUUAUCACAGAAACCAGAAGGACAGUGACACUGACGUGUGACCCCAUUUCUGGACACGUUAGCCUUUACUGGUACCGACAGAUGAAAGGGGAGAGAAUAGAGUUGCUGGUAUACUUCCAGAACAAUCGGCUUGUUGAUGACACUGGAUUGCCAAAAGAUCGGUUCUUCAUUGACUGGCCUGAAAAAUCAUCAUCAACCGUGAAGAUCCAAACCACAGAGUUCAAGGACUCUGCUGUCUAUCUCUGUGCUAGCAGUCCAACCACAGCACUGCAUAGUCACCUCCUCUCUGUACACAAAUCCACUUUCUUUUCCCUCCAUGCUCUUUCCCUAGCUUUGGGCAGGGCACCUCCCAGUUCCACCCUCCCUGGGGGAGGAAGUGGGGUUGUAGCUUCACCUGUCCCCUCAGCCUCUUGCAGAGGGAGGUAG